AAUGCUGUCUCGUUUGGUAACAUUUAUGUUGGGUUUGGGACCAAUCAGCUGAAUGCUACACUCUGGCAGUUUCCUUAUAGUAUUGGAGCUGUCAAUGGAGUUGUCAAGGCCGCCUUCCCGAACGAACCAAACUCAAUAACUUUCCCUUUCUUGUCCAGAUUUGUGGAUGACAAAGGUGUUCUGUUGUCUGCUAGUUUCUAUGUUGACGUCACCGCCAACAUCACCCAGCCUGCCCUGUUAAAGAUUCCUGAUCCUUGUCCACCAAAAGUUAUUGUUUAAAACGAAAUCUGAAGUUGUAAUAUUUAUUAUUAUAUUUAUCUACACAUAUUUUUAUUCAUCUACAAAUAUAACUAGUUAUUCUAUGUAUUUUUUUUCAACAUUAAAAGAUUCAAUUAUUU
rnacentral:sRNA from 1 species